AGAGGCAGCAAGAGCUACACAGCAAUAGACUGCUUCACCUACUCCUGUGAGCACUGGGUUCUCAGAUCCGCCAUCUUUUCCAAGGAGCCCUCUAGUCCGGCGUCUUAUCCCAUGGAUGUAACACAACUUCCUUCAGGCCUCAGACACGAAGUACGAGAGGAGGAAGCUAAAACAACAACAACCAAACAGACUGAGGGUAAAAGGAAUACGGAAGGAAAAAGAAAAGCAAGCUAACUGCAAUGUGAUAUCCUGGAUUUGUUCCUGGAACAGAAAAAGGACAGAGUGGAAAAACUGAAUAAAGCACACUCUGAAUAAAGUCUGUGGAG
rnacentral:lncRNA from 10 species